GUGAGUCAUCGAAUCUUUGAACGCACAUUGCGCCCGCCAGCAUUCUGGCGGGCAUGCCUGUCCGAGCGUCAUUCCAACCCUCAGGGCCCCCUAGGGGGACCUGGUGUUGGGGGCCGGCCGCCCGCGCCGCCCCCGAAAUGCAGUGGCGACCUCGCCGCAGCCUCCCCUGCGUAGUAAGCACAACCUCGCACCGGAGCGCGGAGACGGUCACGCCGUAAAACGCCCAACUUUCUCAAGAGUUGACCUCGGAUCAGGUAGGAAUACCCGCUGAACUUAAGCAUAUCAAUAAGCGGAGGA
rnacentral:misc_RNA from 1 species